rnacentral:rRNA from 1 species
CAGCAGUGGGGAAUAUUGCACAAUGGGCGCAAGCCUGAUGCAGCCAUGCCGCGUGUAUGAAGAAGGCCUUCGGGUUGUAAAGUACUUUCAGCAGUGAGGAAGGUGGGUAUGUUAAUAGCAUAUUCAUUUGACGUUAGCUGCAGAAGAAGCACCGGCUAACUCCGUGCCAGCAGCCGCGGUAAUACGGAGGGUGCGAGCGUUAAUCGGAAUUACUGGGCGUAAAGCGCAUGCAGGUGGUUUGUUAAGUCAGAUGUGAAAGCCCGGGGCUCAACCUCGGAAUUGCAUUUGAAAACUGGCAAACUAGAGUACUGUAGAGGGGGUAGGAAUUUCAGGUGUAGCGGUGAAAUGCGUAGAGAUCUGAAGGAAUACCGGUGGCGAAGGCGGCCCCCUGGACAGAUACUGACACUCAGAUGCGAAAGCGUGGGGAGCAAACAGGAUUAGAUACCCUGGUAG